rnacentral:rRNA from 1 species
AUUGAACGCUGGCGGCAGGCUUAACACAUGCAAGUCGAGCGGGGUGAUGUAGCUUGCUACAUUACCUAGCGGCGGACGGGUGAGUAAUGCUUAGGAAUCUGCCUAUUAGUGGGGGACAACAUUCCGAAAGGAAUGCUAAUACCGCAUACGUCCUACGGGAGAAAGCAGGGGAUCUUCGGACCUUGCGCUAAUAGAUGAGCCUAAGUCAGAUUAGCUAGUUGGUGGGGUAAAGGCCUACCAAGGCGACGAUCUGGAGCGGGUCUGGGAGGAUGAUCCGCCACACUGGGACUGGGACACGGCCCAGACUCCUACGGGAGGCAGCAGUGGGGAAUAUUGGAAAAUGGGCGAAAGCCUGAUCCAGCCAUGCCGCGUGUGUGAAGAAGGCCUUUUGGUUGUAAAGCACUUUAAGCGAGGAGGAGGCUACUUGGAUUAAUACUCUAGGAUAGUGGACGUUACUCGCAGAAUAAGCACCGGCUAACUCUGUGCCAGCCGCCGCCGUAAGAC